UACGUAGGUGGCAAGCGUUGUCCGGAGUUAUUGGGCGUAAAGCGCGCGCAGGCGGUGCGGUAAGUCUAUGGUGAAAUCCCUCAGCUUAACUGGGGAACUGCGUCCGAUACUGGAUGGCUUGAGUUUGGGAGAGGGAUGCGGAAUUCCAGGUGUAGCGGUGAAAUGCGUAGAUAUCUGGAGGAACACCGGUGGCGAAGGCGGCAUCCUGGACCAACACUGACACUGAGGAGCGAAAGCCAGGGGAGCAAACGGG
rnacentral:rRNA from 1 species